UACGAAGGGGGGCGAGCGUUGUUCGGAAUUACUGGGCGUAAAGGGCGCGCAGGCGGCUCUGAAAGUCAGAUGUGAAAGCCCCCGGGCUUAACCUGGGAACUGCAUUUGAUACUCUGGAGCUUGAGUACGGGAGAGGAUAGUGGAAUUCCCAGUGUAGAGGUGAAAUUCGUAGAUAUUGGGAAGAACACCGGUGGCGAAGGCGGCUAUCUGGACCGAUAUUGACGCUGAGGAGCGAAAGCGUGGGGAGCGAACAGG
rnacentral:rRNA from 1 species